rnacentral:rRNA from 1 species
AUAGAUCUUAAUAAAUAUAAUAAUUAAUUGAGUUUAAAUAAAUUAAUUUUUGGUUAUUAUGAAAUUUAUUUAAUUGGGGUGAUUUAAAAAUAUAAAAAACUUUUUUUUUAAUUUAAUAUUUUAAAUAAUUUUUUGAUCCAUAUAUAAUGAUUAUAAGAUUAAAUUACCUUAGGGAUAACAGCAUAAUUCUUUUUAAGAGUUCAUAUCAAAAAAAGAGAUUGUGACCUCGAUGUUGGAUUAAGAUAAAUUUUAGGUGUAGAUGUUUAAUAAUUAGGUCUGUUCGACCUUUAAAUUCUUACA